AAAGUGAAAGUCACAACAUGUAAACUGAAAAUGUAGGUUAGUGCUAAACAUGAGCCAAACUUCCACAGCAACAUCGAUAAGUAUACCAUCAGAUAUUGUUCUUUAUCAAGAUGAUGAAUUUUUAGAAGAUAUAGAGCGUGUGAAUGAAUUGUAUUUCUCUAAACUUGUUGCUCCAAAAUCUAACGUGCGUGACAGACUGUUUUGUGAUCUGUCAAAUGACAGCGAUAAGAUACGAGUGAUUUUGGUUAUUUAAAAUAUGAUUCUGACUUUGAAAGUGACAAUGACAACAAUGAUGGAGAUGUAUAUAUACCGGAUGAAGUAAAUGACAUCGACACGAAGGAAUACAUAUAAAUCCAUUCCAAAUUUCAUCAACUUUCUACAGUUUCUAAUAUGAACAUGAUGAAUGGUGAGGAAAAGGAAGAAAUCCUUUCUACAUAUACGCAGCAUUUUCCCAAGCUAAACAGCAAAGGGACAAUUACAGACACCAGUGUACCACCAGCAAGGUAGCGUUUGUUUCCUUACCAGAGAAAUGAAAUGCUCCAUGCUCAGUUGAUAUGGAAAUGCACUAUUCCUGGGACUAUGCACAAAAGGUGCAUUUUCCUCAUCAUGUCCAACAAGUGGGACCAGUAUUUUUCAAGACGCCUUUGAAAUGCAAUGUGUUUGGUGUAUGUUGCGAGGGUUCAGGAAAACAAGUGUGCUACUUGAUUGAUGAGGCUGAGAACACAGGGAAGGGUGCUAAUUCUGUCAUUAGUAUGGUUCACCUCUUUUUUUCAGUACCAUGGAUAUGGAGAGAAAACAACAUCCAUUCAUUUUGACAACUGCAGUAGGCAAAACAAAAACAACUUUGUCUUAUGGUAUGCUCUCUGGAGAGUUCUUGAAGGACUCCAUAUUAUUGUGGAAUAUUCUAUGAUGGUGGCAGGACACACUAAAUUUUGAUCCUGACUGGCAUUUUGGAGUCUGGAAAGUAAAAUGGCAUUCAUCCACAGCAGAAACCAUAAAUGAUAUAGCAGACACAAUCCGUCGUUCAUCUGGGAGAGGCCAUAACGUUCCUCAGCUCAUGUCUGAUCCACAAACACCUGUGCAGUUUAGGGACUGGAAGUCGUACCUUGAACAGUUCUUCAAACCCUUGAAAAACAUUUGAGGCUAUCAUAAUUUCCGAGUAAGUGCUGAGACUCCUGGUGUUGUUAAAUGUAAGGAACUCUGUAAUUCUGUUCCUUUGUGUGUUAAUCUCCUGAAAGAUCAGAAUAUCCUUCCCUCCGUAAAUGAUCCUCUGCCUCAAGAAAUCCCAGCACCUGGUCUUGAGCCCAAAAGGCAAUGGUACUUAUAUGAGGAAAUCUGUGAACAUUGUCUUUCACUCUCUGCUAAAGACUCAUCAUGUCCAAAACCAGCCGUACCAAAGAAAGAGGUGAAAGUUUAUUCACCUGAUCAUUCCACAUCACACUUGGGAAAAAGGAAGAAUCUUCUCCUUAGAUGAAGGGUCUAAGAUUAUUGUGUGCAAGAAAGAUUAGAAGUAAAAUGUAUACUUGUAGUUCCUAUUGUACUACUCCCAUUGAUGUACUUUUCUGUAAGUCGAAUUUCAUUGCUUUAAAACAUUUGUUAAAAUUAGGACUUUUAUCAUUUACAUAAGCUGUGUCCUAUGAGUAAUGUUUCAUCUCAACAGUUUAAAAAAUGUGUAACAGUAUGAAAAUUAUUCAGUGAUGUUUGCACCUUCUCUGUGACAUUAUCCUUUAAAUGCAUUUUGAAUAUAUGUAGUUUAACAUAAAAUAUUACAAAGCUUUGUCAAAAAUGAUUUUUUUUUCGUUUUUUUUUUUUUAAUUUUCAGGGGAUAUAAUUUUCACACUACCCCCACCCCAAAAUGUAAUAUUUCCAUUUCAAUUUUUUUUUCUCUGUGAUAACUGUUUGAAAGUUGGGGGAAUUUAUUUUUUGAUAAUUUUGCCAGAAUGUAAAUUAGGUAGGUCGAUAGGUCAGCAGCUAAGGAGGCCUAAUACGCAUGCAAAUCUCGUGCACAUCUGUCUCUGUAUCUGACACUAAGGAAGCCAAAUAGCAUGUAAAUCUCCUGCGACUGCCUUUGUGUUUGACGUCAGUGUGCAAGGACUAUUGGAAUUGGCAUGGAAGUCCUCGUGUAAUU